CCUCCUCCUCCUCCCCCGCACACUCACCACCCCCCCCCCCCCUGGGGCCGGUAUGAGUCAGAGGUGUCUUCACCAUGAUGUUUCGAGACCAGGUCGGCGUGUUGGCCGGAUGGUUCAAGGGCUGGAACGAGUGCGAGCAGACUGUUGCGUUGCUCUCCCUGCUGAAACGCGUCAGCCGGACCCAGGCUCGUUUCCUCCAGCUCUGCCUGGAGCACUCCCUGGCAGACUGCACCGAGCUCCACAUCCUCGAAGGGGAGCCAACAACCCCGGAAUCAUUAACCAGUGGCAACAGGAAUCCAAGGAUAAAGUGAUAUCCCUCUUGUUAACCCACCUGCCUUUACUCAAGCCCGGAAACAUCGAGGCAAAAGUCGAAUACAUGAAACUCUUGCCUAAAAUCCUGGCCCACUCCAUCGAACACAAUCAACACAUCGAGGAGAGCCGGCAGCUGCUCUCCUACGCCUUGAUCCACCCCGCCACCUCCUUGGAGGACCGCAGCGCCCUGGCCAUGUGGCUCAACCACUUGGAGGACCGCACGUCGGGUGGCUCGGGUGGCUUUGGAAGCCAGAGCAGAGCCCGCUCGGAUUCGGUGGAUUACGGGCAGCAGCCCCACUACUAUCACCAAAGACAAAACUCCGAUGACAAACUCAACGGGUGGCAGAACUCCCGAGACUCGGGCAUAAGCGUCAGCGCUUCCAGCUGGCAGGACAAAAACCUGGCGUGUGAGAACGGCCACCUGCCCCUCUACUCCUCCUCCUCCGUCCCCACAACCAUCAACACCAUUGGCACUAGCACAAGCACCAUUCUCUCAGGCCAGACACACCACAGCCCUUUGAAACGCUCUGUGUCCCUUACCCCACCCAUGAAUGUGCCAAACCAACCUCUAGGACAUGGAUGGAUGUCUCAUGAGGACUUACGAGCUAGAGGACCCCAGUGCAUCCCUUCCGAUCAUGCCCCCCUGUCUCCACAAAGCAGUGUAGCCUCUUCAGGAAGUGGUGGGAGUGAACAUUUAGAAGAUCAGCCUUCUGCUCGUAACACAUUCCAGGAGGAAGGGAGUGGGAUGAAAGAUGUCCCAGCCUGGCUGAAGAGCCUCAGGCUGCACAAGUAUGCUGCCCUCUUCUCACAGAUGACAUAUGAGGAGAUGAUGGCCCUCACUGAAUGCCAGCUUGAGGCACAGAACGUUACCAAAGGUGCAAGACACAAAAUAGUCAUCAGUAUCCAAAAGCUAAAAGAAAGACAAAACCUGCUCAAGUCUUUAGAAAGGGACAUCCUGGAAGGUGGCAACUUGCGUGUCCCGCUGCAGGAGCUACACCAAAUGAUCCUCACCCCCAUCAAAGCUUACUCUUCCCAAAACUCCAGCACGGAGGAGCACAGCCGGGACACUGAUUCCCAUCACCCUUCCUCCCUGCUGGGCUCUGACACCCAAGGUUCUGACUGCAAGGACUCAGCAGCAGCAGCAGCAGCAGCAGCAGGGGGGAUGCAGCAGCACCAUUUACCGGGAUGCGAGGGCGAGUCGGGGGGUGGCCCUUUGCCUGAAGGUGACCUGCCUGGACAGUUCACCAGAGUGAUGGGGAAAGUAUGCACACAACUUUUAGUUUCCCGCCCUGAUGAAGAGAAUAUAAGUUCCUAUUUACAGCUCAUAGACAAAUGUCUAAUCCACGAGGCGUUUACAGAGAUCCAGAAGAAGAGGCUGCUGUCAUGGAAACAGCAGGUGCAGAAACUCUUCCGGUCUUUCCCUCGGAAAUCCCUCCUGGAGCUGUCGGGCUAUCGGCAGCAGAGGAGCCGAGGCUUUGGGCAGUCAAACUCCUUACCCACAGCCGGAUCUGCAGGGGCAGGACUGGGCCGGAGGAACCCCCGCCAGUUCCAGAUCCCCUCCCGGAACCUCCCCACCGCCCGCCUGGGGCUGCUGGGCCCCACUGGGCUCCUGGGCACCCCCCAGCGCAGCCCCGCCGCCAGCCCCGCCAUCCUCAAGCAAGGCAGACAGAACCUCUGGUUUGCCAACCCUGGGGGCAGCAACAGCAUGCCCAGCCGGAGCCACAGCUCGGUGCAGAGGACGCGCUCGCUGCCGGUCCACACCUCCCCGCAGACCAUGCUGAUGUUUCAGCAGCCAGAGUUCCAGGUGCCGGUGACUGAACCUGACAUCAACAACAGGCUGGAGUCCCUGUGCCUGAGCAUGACGGAGCACGCGCUCAGCGGUGAGCACUCCCUCCUCCUCGGCCUCUUCCAGCACGUCCAUGCCACCGAGCCCCCCGCCACCUGCCCCCCACCCCCCAAAACCUGGGACAGGCUGUGGCUGUGAGGGGACGGGAUGGACGGAUGCUCCCAGGGAGGGGAAUGCUCCCGAGGGCAGUCGGAGUGGGGACGGUGACAUCUCUGGGCAAAGCUGCCGAGGCAGAGGGAUAAAAAACGGACGCAGGGAUCGCACCCGGCACGAGUGGAGUCCGUGCUUAUUAGCCACUAGUUAAUAAUGCUAAUAAUCAUUAGCAUUAGCUCGCUAGUUUGUUUUAUUAGUUCUCCAUAAAACCCUCGCCACCACCGGAGCACUCCAACGCUUCGCAGGUUUGGGAGUGUUUUACCUUUUUUUUUUUUUUUUUUUUUUUUUUUUGUCACCCGUGUCCCUCCUCGUUUUGGCCGGGGGGUGCGGGAGCCCCGGGGGCACCAGGGGGUAAAGCAGCAGCUCCAGGGGUUUGCUGGGGCUGUGCCAGCUCCUCCUCGCCUGGGGCAGAUCCGGGGGCACUGGGGAGGGAGCAGGACCAGGUGGAAAACCAGGUUGGGAAGAUUGGAAAACGCGACGGCAGCGGGAUGGAGAGGCCAGCACAGCAAAAAGCACCAGCACCAGAAGCACCCGGUGCCCCCUGAGCCAUGCAGCAGACCCCCCCCAAGAAUGAAGGAGGACACCCUGGUGAUGGGACAAGCAUCUCCUCCGUCUUCUGGACGAGCUCUCCAGAGCAUCCCCACCCCCCAGUAUCCAGCUGGGGUCUCACCCCUGGACUGCGUCCGACGGUGGGAGCGGAGCCCUCGGGGAGGAUGCUGCUGCGGGGAUCCCACCUCUGGCACGGGCUCCCUGCAGCGAUGGGACAGCCCCCUCCUGGGGACAGGGACAUCAGAAGGAGGACUGUCAGAGGCAGCAGGGCCCUGGCAGUGCCACGGCCACAGCCCCGGCUGGGAAAACGAGGACACUUCUGUCACCCGAAGCGUUUCUCCGGCGUGUGCCCAGGAGAGGCUUAGCUGUCUUGUUCCUCUGCAGGAUGGUGUGGACCGAACCUCCACGAUCUAGAAGGUGUCGGGACGGGGCGGGGCCGCUGGCCGGGACAACAACUGCUGCGGGUCCAGCGGCGAGGUCGGGGCUCAGAGGGAGCCUCAGAGACAGCUUUGCAUCCUUCCUCCUCUCUCUCCUCUCUUUCUCUCUCUCUUUUCUCUCUCUCUUUCUCUCUUUUCUCUCCUGUUUUAAUUUUUUGUGAAUGUGUAGAUUGUCCUCGUGAACAUAUCAUUAGACUUGGAAUUUGUGUUGUCA